rnacentral:rRNA from 1 species
AGCGAACGCUGGCGGUAGGCCUAACACAUGCAAGUCGAACGGCAGCACAGUAAGAGCUUGCUCUUACGGGUGGCGAGUGGCGGACGGGUGAGGAAUACAUCGGAAUCUACUUUUUCGGGGGGGAUAACGUAGGGAAACUUACGCUAAUACCGCAUACGACCUACGGGUGAAAGCAGGGGAUCUUCGGACCUUGCGCGAUUGAAUGAGCCGAUGUCGGAUUAGCUAGUUGGCGGGGUAAAGGCCCACCAAGGCGACGAUCCGUAGCUGGUCUGAGAGGAUGAUCAGCCACACUGGAACUGAGACACGGUCCAGACUCCUACGGGAGGCAGCAGUGGGGAAUAUUGGACAAUGGGCGCAAGCCUGAUCCAGCCAUACCGCGUGGGUGAAGAAGGCCUUCGGGUUGUAAAGCCCUUUUGUUGGGAAAGAAAAGCAGCAGGUUAAUACCCCGCUGUUCUGACGGUACCCAAAGAAUAAGCACCGGCUAACUUCGUG